rnacentral:rRNA from 1 species
CAGGAUGGGAUCAUGAGUUCACAUGUCCGCAUGAUUAAAGGUAUUUUCCGGUAGACGAUGGGGAUGCGUUCCAUUAGAUAGUAGGCGGGGUAACGGCCCACCUAGUCAACGAUGGAUAGGGGUUCUGAGAGGAAGGUCCCCCACAUUGGAACUGAGACACGGUCCAAACUCCUACGGGAGGCAGCAGUGAGGAAUAUUGGUCAAUGGGCGAUGGCCUGAACCAGCCAAGUAGCGUGAAGGAUGACUGCCCUAUGGGUUGUAAACUUCUUUUAUAAAGGAAUAAAGUCGGGUAUGCAUACCCGUUUGCAUGUACUUUAUGAAUAAGGAUCGGCUAACUCCGUGCCAGCAGCCGCGGUAAUACGGAGGAUCCGAGCGUUAUCCGGAUUUAUUGGGUUUAAAGGGAGCGUAGAUGGAUGUUUAAGUCAGUUGUGAAAGUUUGCGGCUCAACCGUAAAAUUGCAGUUGAUACUGGAUGUCUUGAGUGCAGUUGAGGCAGGCGGAAUUCGUGGUGUGGCGGUGAAAUGCUUAGAUAUCACGAAGAACUCCGAUUGCGAAGGCAGCCUGCUAAGCUGCAACUGACAUUGAGGCUCGAAAGUGUGGGUAUCAAACAGGAUUAGAUACCCUGGUAGUCCACACGGU